rnacentral:lncRNA from 1 species
UUUUUGAUGUUUUUUCGGGGGUUUUGUUCAAUAAAUGCGUGGAUGUCGAUGAUGCUGCUGAUUUCCUGAUGUCUUGGACCCUUUGCCGUGUUAGAUCUGAUGAACUUGAUUGUAGCUUUGUUGAUGAUCUGUUACUAGAUCUGCUUGGUUUUUGAGAACUACUGCGAUCAAUUUUGGUUUUUUUUUUUUGGUUGGAAAAGGGCGGAUCUGGUUUUGGGUAGUUGAAAACUCGGUUUUUUUUUGGAUUUUUAAACUAUUUUUUCUCCUUUUUUUGGCUCCGAACGGGCGGGCCCAGAUUGUUAUGCCGGGUUUCGUUGAUAGGGUUGAUGUACUCUUGGAAAUUAGAUCUGGCUUACUGCAGAGUUCAGACCCGAGAUUUUAACUCGAGAUCAGUGCAAGAGCUCUAGAUCGGUUCUUUGUUAUGGAUUAGCUGAGAGAUCCGCUUCUUUCUUUUUUUUUUUUAAAUUUCUACCUUUCUGCUGAUUUCAAGGGUUGUAGAUUGACUAUAGUGUCCGAAGCUACUUCCUUUGACCUU